rnacentral:misc_RNA from 1 species
AUGGUGGGAAAUAUGAUCUUCUGGUUCAUUUUCUGCAUUCUUGGCCAACCUAUGUGUGUAUUACUGUAUUACCAUGACCUGAUGAAUCAGAAAGGGAGUACGGAAUCAAGAUGAAACUGACCCAUGGCAUGGUUGCUUAUGGGAUUUGCUUUCAAUAUAUUGUGCAUGAAACUUUACCAUACUGAUCUUAUCACGAACCAUUGAGAGAGUAGGUUAGUUGUUAAUUCAAUUAAUGUUCAAGCAAAUUUUGAAAAGUAUAAUCACUUUCAGGGACUAGUGCCCUAUUUUAGUAGCUGUUCAGAGACAUCGUUAAUUAUUAGUGGAAAAUUGUAAAUGUGUCCCUGAAAGUGAUU